CCUACGGGUGGCUGCAGUGGGGAAUAUUGGACAAUGGGGGCAACCCUGAUCCAGCCAUGCCGCGUGUGUGAAGAAGGCCCUCGGGUUGUAAAGCACUUUCAGUGAGGAAGAACGCCUGGUGGUUAAUACCCAUCAGGAAAGACAUCACUCACAGAAGAAGCACCGGCUAACUCCGUGCCAGCAGCCGCGGUAAUACGGAGGGUGCGAGCGUUAAUCGGAAUUACUGGGCGUAAAGCGCGCGUAGGUGGCUUGAUAAGCCGGUUGUGAAAACCCCGGGCUCAACCUGGGAACGGCAUCCGGAACUGUCAAGCUAGAGUGCAGGAGAGGAAGGUAGAAUUCCCGGUGUAGCGGUGAAAUGCGUAGAGAUCGGGAGGAAUACCAGUGGCGAAGGCGGCCUUCUGGACUGACACUGACACUGAGGUGCGAAAGCGUGGGUAGCAAACAGGAUUAGAUACCCGGGUAGUC
rnacentral:rRNA from 1 species